rnacentral:rRNA from 1 species
CCUACGGGUGGCAGCAGUGGGGAAUAUUGGACAAUGGGGGCAACCCUGAUCCAGCCAUGCCGCGUGUGUGAAGGAGGCCCUCGGGUUGUAAAGCACUUUCAGUGAGGAAGAACGCCUGGUGGUUAAUACCCAUCAGGAAAGACAUCACUCACAGAAGAAGCACCGGCUAACUCCGUGCCAGCAGCCGCGGUAAUACGGAGGGUGCGAGCGUUAAUCGGAAUUACUGGGCGUAAAGCGCGCGUAGGUGGCUUGAUAAGCCGGUUGUGAAAGCCCCGGGCUCAACCUGGGAACGGCAUCCGGAACUGUCAAGCUAGAGUGCAGGAGAGGAAGGUAGAAUUCCCGGUGUAGCGGUGAAAUGCGUAGAGAUCGGGAGGAAUACCAGUGGCGAAGGCGGCCUUCUGGACUGACACUGACACUGAGGUGCGAAAGCGUGGGUAGCAAACAGGAUUAGAUACCCCAGUAGUC